GUGCCAGCAGCCGCGGUAAUACGUAGGGUGCGAGCGUUGUCCGGAAUUAUUGGGCGUAAAGAGCUUGUAGGCGGUUUGUCGCGUCUGCCGUGAAAAUCCGGGGCUCAACCCCGGACUUGCGGUGGGUACGGGCAGACUAGAGUGUGGUAGGGGAGACUGGAAUUCCUGGUGUAGCGGUGAAAUGCGCAGAUAUCAGGAGGAACACCGAUGGCGAAGGCAGGUCUCUGGGCCACUACUGACGCUGAGAAGCGAAAGCGUGGGGAGCGAACAGGAUUAGAAACCCCCGUAGUCC
rnacentral:rRNA from 1 species